GGCCCGAUGGUCUAGAGGCAUGAUUCUCGCUUAGGGUGCGAGAGGUCCCGGGUUCAAUUCCCGGUCGGGCCC
rfam:Nematostella vectensis strain CH2 x CH6 NEMVEscaffold_18_Cont3434, whole genome shotgun sequence.